GAUUCCCCUAGUAACUGCGAGUGAAGCGGGAAAAGCUCAAAUUUAAAAUCUGGCGGUCUUUGGCCGUCCGAGUUGUAAUCUAGAGAAGUGUUACCCGCGCCGGACCGUGUAUAAGUCUCCUGGAAUGGAGCGUCAUAGAGGGUGAGAAUCCCGUCUUUGACACGGACUCCCGGGGCAUUGUGGUGCGCUCUCAAAGAGUCGAGUUGUUUGGGAAUGCAGCUCAAAAUGGGUGGUAAAUUCCAUCUAAAGCUAAAUAUUGGCGAGAGACCGAUAGCGAACAAGUACCGUGAGGGAAAGAUGAAAAGAACUUUGGAAAGAGAGUUAAACAGUACGUGAAAUUGCUGAAAGGGAAACGCUUGAAGUCAGUCGCGUCGGCCGGAAAUCAACCUUGCUUCUGCUGGGUGUACUUUCUGGUCGACGGGCCAGCAUCAGUUUUGACCGGUGGAAAAAUUCCAAGGGAAUGUGGCAUCUCAGGAUGUGUUAUAGCCCUUGGUUGUAUACACCGGUUGGGACUGAGGAAUUCAGCACGCCGCAAGGCCGGGCUCAGACACCACGUUCGUGCUUAGGAUGCUGGCAUAAUGGCUUUAAUCGACCCGUCUUGAAACACGGACCAAGGAGUCUAACAUGCCUGCGAGUGUUUGGGUGUAAAACCCGAGCGCGUAAUGAAAGUGAAAGUUGGGAUCUCUGUCAUGGAGAGCACCGACGCCCGGACCAGAAGUUUACGGACGCGUCCGCGGUAAAGCAUGUAUGUUGGGACCCGAAAGAUGGUGAACUAUGCCUGAAUAGGGUGAAGCCAGAGGAAACUCUGGUGGAGGCUCGUAGC
rnacentral:rRNA from 1 species